rnacentral:rRNA from 1 species
GCAAGUCGAGCGGAAACGAGAAGUAGCUUGCUACUUCGGCGUCGAGCGGCGGACGGGUGAGUAAUGCCUAGGAAAUUGCCUUGAUGUGGGGGAUAACCAUUGGAAACGAUGGCUAAUACCGCAUAAUGCCUACGGGCCAAAGAGGGGGGCCUUCGGGCCUCUCGCGUCAAGAUAUGCCUAGGUGGGAUUAGCUAGUUGGUGAGGUAAUGGCUCACCAAGGCGACGAUCCCUAGCUGGUCUGAGAGGAUGAUC